CUGCGCUUUUCUUGGUUUUUGGUGAUGUCACUUUUCGUGUUCUGGUAGCUACCGCUUUGGAAGAAGCAGGCUUCUUUUUUUCUGGACUUCCUGCAUCUUCCAUUUCUGCUUCACUGCUCUCAUUGGCUGCAGCUGCUGCCUUUCUUUUUUUCUUUUGUACAGGGUUCGUUUGCACGUCUCCGUUUUCUGACAAGCCAAAGUCAAGUACUCCAUCAUCUUUUUGUCCAAUGGACUUGAGACCUUGCAGAAGUAUUUCUCGGAAAUGUGGAUACACAGGUUUCUCUUCAUAGCUCAGUUGCUUCACCUUUUCCAUAUAUUUCCUUAUUUCAUCUGGUUUAUUUUUCCCAGGAAAGCAUUUUUCCAUCAACUCAGAAAUGUUAUCUCUACAUCUGAUUUUUGAGUCCCUGACAAAGUUUGGAUCUUUCAAAUUAUCCUCCCACGGUAGAUGGCCACUAAGCCAAUGAACCAUACAGUAACCUAAGAUCUCCAGAUCCCCACGUCUCGAUGGUGCCACACCCUUGUGUGCAUCUAUACUGGUAUAUUCAAUAGUUCCAUCAUGACACCUUUUAGGAUCUUCCUUAUAUGCUUUGUGAACUCCUUCAGGACAGUAUCGAUAGGCAAG
rnacentral:lncRNA from 1 species